GUGCUUGCUUCAGCGGCACAUAUGCUAAAAUUGAAAUGACAGAGAUUAGUAUGGCCCCUGCAUAAGAAUGACACGCAAAUUCCUGAAGCGUUCCAUAUUUAA